UUCUUAAAUAGUGGACUGAAACAGGUCAUGCUCAUGCUGGUCAAAGGUUAUUUUAUCAGUUUUGCGGAAGAUGGACUGAAGAGGGUAGAGCCUGGAUGCCAAGAGUCUUACUAGGAGGCUAUUAUAAUAGAUCAGGAAAGAGGUAAAUGGUGAUUUCAACCUCUCAAUCUUAUGGUGAUAGGAAAUACACUCCAAGACCAGGGACUUUGAGAUUGGAAUAUGAGUUGAGUGACCAGAAUGGGAUGCUGGAGGAGAUGCAGACAUAAUUCACUUUUCUUCUGCAGAGGCAGGGUGGCGUAGUCAAAAAUGUACUGGAUUUGAAGUCUGAAGACCUGACUGGCUAAGUGGACCUGGACAAAUCACUUAACCACUCUGACUAAGCCUCAGUUCUCUCAUCUAUAAAUACGGAUAAGACUUGUACAACCUACUUCAAAGUGUUACUGGGAGGAUCAAACAGAAUUCAUGUAAAACACCCUGUAAACUAUAAAGCAUCAGAUAUUCACCUAGCUUGCUCCUUAGCAAUGUCUCUUGAGAAGGAGGAGGAGGAGGAAGAGAAGAAGAAGAAGAAGAAGAAGAAGAAGAAGAAGAAGAAGAAGAAGAAGAAGAAGAAGAAAGAAGAAGGCCACAAGGAGCUCAGUGGAAAUGGGACCUAUAGAGCCAUAUUGGACCGAAGUGAGCCACAGUUUUAUGGCUGGGAGGUGGAGCCAUGAAGGACUCCUCCUUUGUGCUCACUGGAAACCUGAACAGUGACAGUGUGGUGUGGUGAUAGUGCACUGGAGUCAGAAGACCUGAAUUGUCAUUCUAGGUCUUCCAAGAGCUCUUACCUUCUUCAGGAGGCCCCCAAGUUUACCUUCCAUUUUCACUGUAUAUAUCUGGUAUGUACCUAGUUAAUGAUUUCUCCUACUAGAAUUAAUGAUUUUCCCCAUUAGAAUGUGAGCUCCUUGAAGGCAGGGACUUUUUUCUUUUGGUCUUUCUUU